rnacentral:misc_RNA from 1 species
GGUCACGAGCCAUUUCUGCAGAACCAAUAUUCCCUAAUGCACAAAGAGCAAGUCCAACGAUAUAUUGAUUGGUGUGGUUAAGAUCUUGCUUUAUAGAAUUGGUAACCAACAUAAGAACCUCUUGUCUUUCGUCAAGAAGCAACAUUAGGCCAAGAUAUCCUAUUCUUUUCUCUGGAAAUCCUGGAGAAGCAAUCAGCUUCAAGCAUUC